UGUAAAAUUUUAAAGGUCGAACAGACCUAAUAUUUUAGCUUCUACACCAAAAAUUUAUUUUAAUCCAACAUCGAGGUCGCAAUCUUUUUUUUUGAUUUGAACUCUAAAAAAAAAUAACGCUGUUAUCCCUAAGGUAAUUUAAUCUUAUAAUCAUAAUUAACGGAUCAAAUAAUCAUUUAUAAAUGUAUUAAUAUAUAAAAAGUUAGUUAAAUUUUUAAAUCAUCCCAAUUUAAUAAUAACAAAUAAAUUAAUUUUAUUAUUACUAAAAAUAUUAAAAUAAAAUUAUUAUAAAACUCUAUAGGGUCUUCUCGUCUUUUAAUAUUAUUUAAGCUUUUUAACUUAAAAAUAAAAUUCUAAUAAAAUUAAUUAAAGACAGUUAUUUUUUCAUUCUACCAUUCAUUCCAGCUUUCAAUUAAAAAACUAAUUAUUAUGCUACCUUAGCACGAUCAAAAUAUCGCGGCCAUUUAAAUUUUCAGUGGGCAGGCAAGACCUAAAAUUAUAAUCAAAAGGAC
rnacentral:rRNA from 1 species